GAUGAACGCUGGCGGCGUGCCUAAUACAUGCCAGUAGAACGCUGAAGGAGGAGCUUGCUCUUCUGGAUGAGUUGCGAACGGGUGAGUAACGCGUAGGUAACCUGCCUGGUAGCGGGGGAUAACUAUUGGAAACGAUAGCUAAUACCGCAUGACAACAGUUAUUGCAUGAUAACUGUUUAAAAGGGGCAACUGCUCCACUACCAGAUGGACCUGCGUUGUAUUAGCUAGUUGGUGAGGUAACGGCUCACCAAGGCGACGAUACAUAGCCGACCUGAGAGGGUGAUCGGCCACACUGGGACUGAGACACGGCCCAGACGCCUACGGGAGGCAGCAGUAGGGAAUCUUCGGCAAUGGACGGAAGUCUGACCGAGCAACGCCGCGGGAGUGAAGAAGGUUUUCGGAUCGUAAAGCUCGGUUGUAAGAGAAGAACGAGUGUGAGAGUGGAAAGUUCACACUGUGACGGUAUCUGACCAGAAAGGGACGGCUAACUACGUG
rnacentral:rRNA from 1 species